UGGGGGAUAUUGCACAAUGGGCGAAAGCCUGCUGCAGCGACGCCGCGUGGGGGAUGAAGGCUUUCGGGUUGUAAACCUCUUUCGCUAUCGAACAAGGCCCGCUUAGGGUGGGUCGAGGGUUGGCGGAGAAGAAGCGCCGGCUAACUACGUGCCAGCAGCCGCGGUAAUACGUAGGGCGCGAGCGUUGUCCGGAAUUAUUGGGCGUAAAGGGCUUGUAGGCGGCUUGUUGCGCCUGCUGUGAAAUCGCGGGGCUUAACUUCGCGCGUGCAGUGGGUACGGGCAGGCUUGAGUAUGGUAGGGGUGACUGGAAUUCCAGGUGUAGCGGUGGAAUGCGCAGAUAUCUGGAGGAACACCGAUGGCGAAGGCGGGUCACUGGGCCAUUACUGACGCUGAGGAGCGAAAGCAUGGGUAGCGAACAGG
rnacentral:rRNA from 1 species